rnacentral:tRNA from 1 species
AGGGAUUUAGGAUAGCACCAGACCGGGAGCCUUCAAAGCUCUAAGCAGAAGUGAAAAUCUUCUAAUCCCUG